rnacentral:rRNA from 1 species
GGGUCAGUAGGUUGGUCAUGCCACCGGUACGUACUGGUCUCACUGAUUCCUCCUUCCUGAAGAACCGUAAUGCCAUUAAUUUGGUGUUGCGGGGAAACAGGACUGCUACUUUGAAAAGAUUAGAGUGUUUAAAGCAAGCUAACGCUUGAAUACAUUAGCAUGGAAUAAUGAAAUAGGACGAUCGAUCCUAUUUUGUUGGUUUCUAGGAUUGACGUA